rnacentral:rRNA from 1 species
UACGUAGGCAGCAAGCGUUGUUCGGAAUUACUGGGCGUAAAGAGUGUGUAGGCGGUGCUCUAAGUCUGUUGUGAAAUCUCCCGGCUUAACCGGGAGGGUGCGGCGGAGACUGGAGUGCUAGAGUGUGGGAGAGGUAAGCGGAAUUCCUGGAUGUAGCGGUGAAAUGCGGUAGAUAUCAGGAGGAACACCUGUGGUGUAGACAGCUUACUGGACCACGACUGACGCUGAGACACGAAAGCGUGGGUAGCAAACAGG